rnacentral:lncRNA from 1 species
GCUCAGCUUUUAGUUGUGAAUUUUGUUGUUUUUAGGAGAGACGUUUAGCUCUAGUCGUUCUAUUCUGCCAUCUUAAUCCUCUGUCUAUGUAUUUCUAACAUUUAACACCUCCCUCCACAUGCACAUUUCAUUUCCUCCCAUCAAUCUCAGCUGUGUUUAAAUAAUGGUAUUUUUUACGCAUGUUUUUAUAGGAUUGUAUCAGAAUGAUCCAGAUUAGCUUGGUCAAUGAACUAUCAUAUUCAAAUAAAUUUUCGAAAGUUAAGAGUCAGAAAAACUGUUACAGAAACUCUGUAACAGUCACUAUUUGUUACAGAGUAGAUUUGGGAUAAUGGAAGGUCUUGAUGUUCAGUUAAAAACACAAAUCGAGUAGUUCUCAUUGUGGCUCAGCAGGUUAAGAACUUGACAUAGUAUCUGGGAGGACUCAGGUUCUAUCCCUGGCCUCGCUCAGUGGGUUAAGGAUCCAGCAUUGCUGUGAGCUGUGGUGUAGGUUCUAGACACAGCUCAGGUUCCAGGUGGCCAUGUCUGUGGUUUAGGCCGGCAGCUGCAGCUCUGAUUAGAUCCUUUGCCUGGGAACUUCUAUAUGCUGCAGGCACAACAGUAAAAAAGAAACAGACAAACAAAAGAACACAAAUAGGGAUCACCUGGAGAGGGACAUAAUCAAAACAGGAUAAUAGGAGAUUUUUUUGUUUGCUUUAUCAAAUUUUCAUGAAAAAAUACCACCUCCACCACCACUUUGGCAAUGUUUGCAAAGCUCAGGAGUCCAGCAGAGAAGUUCCAUCACACUAUUAGAGCAAAAAGAAGUCUGAAACUGUUACACAUUGAAGAGGGUAAGAGGAGCUCACUGAGCCCAGGGCAGUGCAGCUCAGGGAGCUGAGAGCCCUCUGUGCCUGAGAAUUCCCUAUCAGGGAAGUGAGAACAUGUGAGUUAAGUGCUUGGCUUCCCCACCUGUUCUAGAUGCUGCAGAGAGGCCCAUUUCUCUCUCAUCCCAUCCAGAGGACUGAUUCGUGAGCUGCACAACUGAGGCGGGGGGGGGGAGGGGGGUGGCUGGGGGACAGCAACUGGGGCUCAGAGCAGAACAGUAGAAUGGUGGUUGCUAGGGCCUGGAGGUGGAGGAAAUGAGAUGUUGAUCCACGAGUACAGACUUCCAGUUUUAAGAUGAAUAAGUUCAGGGCAUCUAAUGAACAGCAUGGUGACCAUAUUAGAAAUACUAUAUUUUAUACACUUGAAAGUUUCUAGGAGAGAAGGUCUUCAAUGUUUUUACACAGUCGCUCUCUGACACACACACAAACACACACACACACGGUACUUAUGUGAAGUGCUGAAGGUGUUCUUUAACCUAUUGGUAAUUUUAAAACAUUUUCGUCUUAUAAAAUAAUUGAUGCAUAUAAGACAUCCAGGUAUUUGUAUAUAUCAGGUUCCAUAUACUUAGUCAUUGCUGAGGUACUUGGAUGCCAUUUGCUGGUACAACUAUAGAUGAUGCUGUGUGGGAAAAUCAUACAAAACAGUCAUGUUCGUUAGUUAAGCAAGUUUUCAAGCAUUUCUCACAUCAAAAACAUUGUUAGAACUGUUGUACAUAUCUUUGGAAAAGUAUCAUGUAUCCAUUGGAUGCUAUUUAAGAGCUAUGCUCAUUGACUAUGCAUACUUCAGCAAUCUGAGUCCAAAGCACUGCACUGUUUCCAAAGUAACUGUGAAUAUACUAGUUAAGAACAGGUUAUAAAUGUUCUGUGGUGUUUGUAACAUUACUUAUGUAGACAAUCCAUGCACAUUUAAUGCUAACCAUUGAAAGAUACCUUCACUGCUACACACUUUUAAAAGUAAGGAUAUAGCAUGGAAAGUACACUGUAUCCUUUCUCACUGAUUGUCAAGGGUACUACCAAGACAGUCUUAACAAAUUUGAGCAUAGUUUUAAGUCCCCAGUCUUACAUGUCAAAUUGCAUUCACUGUGUAUGAGUGUACCUCAUAUUUUUCUGGGAAACUGGAGAACAUUAGACUGGCACUCCAUUAUUAACCCGACUUCCCUCCUGCUGUGUCCCCUCUCCACAUGUCUCCAGUUAUUUCCAAGGCAAGCCACAUGCCACCGCUUCUGUCCUCACCCAUCUUCACUGACCUACUCUUCCCCUCCUGUUAGGCACCAUCUCUAAUUACCGCUUCGCACUUUCCCUGCAUCUUGCCUCACCAUGCUCACUAGGCUUUAGCUUUCAAACUCAUGAACACACAAAAAUAGUUGGCGUCUUGGGGCUUCACUCGUGUUUUUUCUUCUCAGCCCAGAAUGUUCUUCACAUACUUUUUUUCUAAUUGCUUCUUUCUUGUAAUUCCACGUGCCACUUGAAUAGCUAUUGCUCAGAAAGGAUAUCCUCUGAUAAUUCAUCCUAAGUGAAUACCAUACCCUUAUCUUCUGAUACUCAGCUUAUUUUUAAUAGCAUUUAUCAUAAUUUAUAAUUCUCACCUCUCUCUCCACCUGACUAGACUAUAAGCACUUUGAGGACAGUACUCAUGUCAGUUUAUUCAGUAGAGCUAAGUAUAUAAAAGGUACUUAAUAAAUACUUGAUGAAUAAAGAGAUGAGAAUAGAUAUAUGUCCGUGAACAGAAUGUAAAAUCAAAAUUCAGUUAGCAGAACUAGGCCUAUAUAUUAUUCAUAAUUUGAUGGGGUGCAAGUGAUGAAACAUCAACUCAAAUUAACUUCAUGAAAAAUCAAGAAAAGUUAUACCUUGAAAGUCCAGAGAAAUAGCUGACUCUGGGCACAGCGAGACACUGAGAAUCUUGUGAUGUCAUUAUGGCUUUGGCUCACACUCAGCUUGCCUUUGAUCAGCUUUAUUCUAUAACCAAGCUGUUUCACAUAAGCAUGAACAUCCCAUUUCAGACUUUUCUACCCCAUCCUUGGUUGUAUAUUUCAAAGGGUCUUUUAAAACAGCUAUUUAUUAAUUUAUUAUAUCACUGAAAUUGUUUUAAUGGUGCUUGUUAUGGGCAGACAUUCUUCAAAGUGCUAUGUAAAUAUAAACUCAUUUGUUCCUUGUGAAUGUUGUCUCCAUCUUAUAGUUAAUUUGUAGGACUCCAAACUGAGCUUAUGUUCCAUUGGCGGGAGAUAGCUCAUAAAUGAUAGGCAUGAUCAUUUGUGCCAUCAUAUUAAAAAGGUUCUAAAUUCUAUGGAAAAAGAAAAAUAUAUUUGAGAUGAUUGGGGUGUUGGGGAAGCAGUGGGUCCAGUCCAGUAGUCAGUUGACUACGUUGGUUAGAGUAGAGGUUUUUUUUUUUUUUUAAUUUUCAACUGAAAGAGCCCUAACUUCUCUAUCUACCUGUGUCUACUCCAAUUCCCAGAGUAAAGUCAGAGUCAAAGGUUCGUAUCCAGAGGAAGAAAUUACUCAGUGCUGUAGGAAAAUAUGUAAGUCAGUUCCUCGGUAAGAAGGCUAAGAGGCAUAAGGUGGCCAAAGUCAGAACACGGCCACAGAAAGCAGUUGCCCAGUCAAUUUACAUGAAGAUAGGACAUUUGGUCCUGUCCAAAACAUCCACAAGACCUUUAGUCCAUGCCAGGAAAUCCUUGAUAUUUGGUCAUAUUUGGCACUGUUCAAAAUGACCAGGAGCAAUUUUGGUCCACGCCAAAUGUUUUUGGAGAGGACCAAAUAUCAAAGAUCUUUUGAUGUUUAUUGGACCAAAUAUCAAGAACCUUUUGGCACAGAACUAAUGUUUUAUGGACAUUCUGACAGGAGCAAAUGUCCUGAGAGGAGUUACACAGAUUCUGAAAUUCUACUGUGGAUUCAUUCAGUUAAUAAGAAUUAAUAAAUCCUCCUCCAUGCCUGAUUUUCUGCUAUAUCCUAUAUACAUCAAUAAAUGUCUCAUCAGUGUCAAAUUGUAUACAUUAAUGCUUCUGUAUUGAAUAACACAUAAAAUUAAAUUCACUUUAAAGUGUUCAUGGCUUACAGAGCUAUCUCUUCAUUGGAGGUUUUACUGUGUCCUUCAUCCUCCUCUUCAAUCCCUUAAAAAAUUUUUCUUUUCUUCAAAGUGUUUCUUCUUACAAGCUAGCUCUGAAGAUGAUUAUGAUAUUUCCCCAAAUAUUAUCACCAAAAAUUUGAAUGUUCCAAGACAACAAAAGUUUAUGUGGAUAAAGUAAAAUGGUGAAGUGGAAAAUAGCAGGAGUGGUCAUCUGAGUUCUUUUUCUCUCAAAACUCAUUAAUCUUUUAUGGUGUCAUGAAAACAUUAAUGGAUUCUCUACAUCUAUAUCUUAAUUCCUGAUCUAAUACUAACUAGUUACAGCAAUAAUGUAUUUAAGUAACUAUGAUAUUAUUAACUAGCUGAUGUAUUAAAAGUGGAUCAGGUGGGGUCAUGAUGUAGCUCUGCUAAUCAGUUGCAGGUUAACAUAUGAAAUAACCUGCCAGGAUUUGUCUUAAAAUGUAAGGGAGAGUGAACCUCCAACAAAACUCGUGUUAGUGGCUUAAAUUAUGGGCUUGUUUUUCCUUUAUCAGCUAACAAAUCAAUAUCCACAAAAUACUCGUUCAGUUAAGCAAUGAAAAAAAUGGCAAAAGACUUUGGGAUAAAAGAAAGAAAACCUAAAAGUCACUGUGCACAAAUUUGAUGCCAAAAUAAAUAAAUAAAUAAAACAUACCCACCACAGUGUGACAAAUAUAUGACUGACACCAUACAUCAGCCCUGUUGAGUGAGCCUUUGCCCUGCUUCAUUGCCUGCCUUCCUUCUGUCCUGGGAAAUUUUCUAACUGUACCGUCUCUGAGUAGUCUUAUUUACCUCAGUGGUUGCAAUAGUAUCUCUCAUUCAGCUCUGUAUCAGAUUUAGACUAGAGUAUCUGGCUCAUUUUGGAUGAAAUCACUUGAUCUUCCCUAUACCAGUAAACCAUUCAUUGGAUCUGAUCAAUUCUACCUUUAAAUAACUUCAUAUGGUGCUUCUCUCCUUGCCCUCUGCAUCUGCCCUGCAGUUGGGUUGCUAUACCACCAUGCUGAGUUCUGUGUGGGUUUCAGUCAUGUCAAGCCAGCUCGCACUACUUGUCAUUCAGCUCCUAGAAUUUUUCAAAUCUUAGGUCAUCGCCAUUGCUUCCAGAAAGGUUUUUCACCUCCUCAUGAAAUAAGUCUUUGCCAUCCCUGAGACUCUAGAAUUGCUCAUUUGUAACUUUAGUGUAAACUAACAGUAUUCUGUGCUUGUUUUUUUUGUGUGUUUUUUUAUUAUGGAAUAGCUGAUUUACACUGUUUCUUCAGUUUCUGGUGCACAUCAAAGUGACCCAGGCACACACAGAUCCCUGUGCUAUACAGUAGGACCCCACUGCCUAUCCAUUCCAAAGGUAACAGUUUUCAUCCACCAACCCCAAACUCCCCAUCCAUCUCACUCUUACCCCUUACCCCUGGCAACCACAAGUCUGCUCUCCAUGGCUGUGAUAUGUUUCUAUUUUGUACAUAGGUUCAUUUGUGCCAUAUUUUAGGUUCCACAAAUAAGUGAUAACAUAGAAUAUUUGCCUUUGUCUUUCUGAAUUACUUCACUUAUUAUGAGAAUCUCUUGUUACAUCCAUGUUGCUGCAAGUGGCAUUAUUUUGUCCUUUUAUGGUUGAGUAGUAUUCCUUUGUAUAUAUGUGCCACAUCUUUUUAAUCCAUUCAUCUGUUGAUGGACAUUUAGGUUGUUUCCAUGUCUUGGCUGUUGUGAAUAGUGCUGCAAUGAACAUAGGGUGGGUGCAUGUAUCUUUUUGAAUGAAAGUUUUGUCUGGGUAUAUCCUUAGGAGUUGGAUUGCUGGAUUAUAUGGUGGUUCUAUAUUUAGUUUUCUGAGGUACCUCCACACUGUUUUCCAUAGUGGUUGUACCAAUUUACAUUCCCACCAACAGUACAGGAGGGUUUCUUUUCCUCCAUACCCUCUCCAGCAUUUGUUAUUUGUUGACUUGUUAAUGAUGAUCGUGGCAUUCUGUGUUUGUGAUAUUUUAUCUAUCUUUCCAAGAAGAUCAUAUGCUUCUAGAGGACAGAAAUGCUUUUCUUCUUUGUGUCCUUCAGAGUUCAUAACAAUGAAAUAAGCAAGAAAUAAAUGCUAUAAAAUAGAAAUAAAGCACAUUAACAAUUCAUAAUUUCAGCAAAAGCAUUUAAUCUAUAUCUACUCAUCCAUGUAAAUGCUAGUUUUAGAUCUAUUCUAAGCUAAAACCAAUAGAACAUAGGCAGUGGAUGAACCACAUCAUCUCAAACUUCAAUCAUAGCAAGUUUCAAAAAUGUGUUUAAGAAUAUAGUCCUAAAACGAAUCCGACUAGGAGCCAUGAGGUUGCGGGUUUGAUCCCUGGCCUUGUUCAGUGGGUUAAGGAUCUGGCGUUGCUGUGAGCUGUGGUGUAGGUUGCAGAUGCAGCUCGAAUCUGGCGUUGCUGUGGCUGUGGUGUAGGCCGGCGGCUGUGGCUCCGAUUCUACACCUAGCCUGGAAACUUCCAUAUGCUGCCACGAUGCAGCCNAAAAAAAAAAAAAAAAAAAAAAAAAAAAAA